UACGUAGGGUGCAAGCGUUGUCCAGAAUUAUUGGGCGUAAAGAGCUCGUAGGCGGUUUGUUGCGUCGGCUGUGAAAUCCCGAGGCUCAACCUCGGGUCUGCAGUCGAUACGAGCAAACUAGAGUGUUGCAGGGGAGACUGGAAUUCCUGGUGUAGCGGUGAAAUGCGCAGAUAUCAGGAGGAACACCGGUGGCGAAGGCGGGUCUCUCGGCAACAACUGACGCUGAGGAGCGAAAGCGUGGGGAGCGAACAGG
rnacentral:rRNA from 1 species